rnacentral:rRNA from 1 species
UACGAAGGGUGCAAGCGUUACUCGGAAUUACUGGGCGUAAAGCGUGCGCAGGCGGUUUCUUAAGUCAGAUGUGAAAGCCCCGGGCUUAACCUGGGAACUGCGUUUGAAACUGGGAGACUUGAGUGUGGCAGAGGGGGGUGGAAUUCCACGUGUAGCAGUGAAAUGCGUAGAUAUGUGGAGGAACACCGAUGGCGAAGGCAGCCCCCUGGGUUAACACUGACGCUCAUGCACGAAAGCGUGGGGAGCAAACAGG